rnacentral:rRNA from 1 species
UGGGGAAUUUUGCGCAAUGGGGAAACCCUGACGCAGCAACGCCGCGUGAGUGAUGAAGGCCUUCGGGUCGUAAAGCUCUGUCAGAGAGGAAGAAAUGCAGGGGUGCUAAUAUCAUCUAUGCUUGACGGUACCCUCAAAGGAAGCACCGGCUAACUCCGUGCCAGCAGCCGCGGUAAUACGGAGGGUGCGAGCGUUGUUCGGAAUUAUUGGGCGUAAAGCGCGUGUAGGCGGUUUGAUAAGUCUGAUGUGAAAGCCCCGGGCUCAACCUGGGAAGUGCAUUGGAAACUGUCAGACUUGAAUACGGGAGAGGGUAGUGGAAUUCCUAGUGUAGGAGUGAAAUCCGUAGAUAUUAGGAGGAACACCGGUGGCGAAGGCGGCUACCUGGACCGAUAUUGACGCUGAGACGCGAAAGCGUGGGGAGCAAACAG